UGGGCAACCUGCCCUCAGCUCUGGGAUAAACUACCGGGAAACCGGGGCUAAUACCGGAUACGACCUUCUCUGGCAUCAGGGGUGGUGGAAAGUUCUUCGGCUGAGGAUGGGCCCGCGGCCUAUCAGCUGGUUGGUGAGGUAAUGGCUCACCAAGGCUUCGACGGGUAGCCGGCCUGAGAGGGCGACCGGCCACACUGGGACUGAGAUACGGCCCAGACUCCUACGGGAGGCA
rnacentral:rRNA from 1 species